rnacentral:rRNA from 1 species
GACGAACAGUGCGAACGUUAUUCGGAAUCACUGGGCUUAAAGGGCGCGUAGGCGGGCCGAGAAGCCAGGGGUGAAAUCCUCCAGCCCAACUGGAGAAGCGCCUUUGGAACUGGCGGCCUCGAGGGGUGCAGGGGCAUGCGGAACUCAGGGUGGAGCGGUGAAAUGCGUAGAUAUCCUGAGGAACACCGGUGGCGAAAGCGGCGUGCUGGACACCUUCUGACGCUGAGGCGCGAAAGCCAGGGGAGCGAACGGG